rnacentral:rRNA from 1 species
GACGUAGGGCGCGAGCGUUGUCCGGAUUUAUUGGGCGGUAAAGAGCUCGUAGGCGGCUCAUUGCGUUCAACCGGUGAAAACCUUGUGGCUCAACUACAAGCUUGCGGUUGAUACGGGUGGGCUGGAGUUCGGUAGGGGAGGACUGGAAUUCCUGGUGUAGCGGUGAAAUGCGCAGAUAUCAGGAGGAACACCGGUGGCGAAGGCGGGUCUCUGGGCCGAUACUGACGCUGAGGAGCGAAAGCGUGGGGAGCGAACAGG